GAGAUUAAGUGAAUUCCUUAAGUUCAUACAAAUAGUAAGUGAAUGACAGGAAUUUGAACUUGGGUUUUCCUGAUUUCAAAUCCAAUUUUUCUUCACUACAGCACAACCUCAUAGACUUGUCAAUGCAAAGAGCCCUCUCUUUAGGCUUGUAAAGAAAACUACUGGAAAAAAAUCAAGUUAACAGUCAUUUGUUAAAUAUUCAAUAUGUCAUAGCCAUUGUUAAAAACAUUGAAGAUAAAAAGAAAUAUAAAUCAGUCCCAGUUCUCAAGGAACUCACAUUCUAAUAGAGGAAAACCUGUUAAGAACUAGGUACAUACAAGAUAUAUAGAAAUAGUAAAUGGAAAAUAAGCUCAGAGGGAAAGAAGAAAAAGCUGGGGUACUGGAAAGGACUCACACAAAGAGAUGGAAUUUGAAUUAAAUCUUGAAGAAAGUCAAUGAAACUAAGAGGUAGAAAUGAGGAACAAGAGGAUUCCAGGUAUGGGAGAAGGUUUGUUUUAAACUAUGGGAGAAUAAAAAUGAAGAGAGUGCUAUGUGAGAAAAAGUGAGUUGAUCAGAUUAUUGGAUUAUACAGUGCAUAAAGGGUAAUAAAAUGUAAGAAUACAAAAAGGGUUGAAAUGGUUGUGAAAAACUUUAAAUGCUAGAAAAUUUUGCAUUUCAUUUUGGAGGUGCUACCUAAAUUUAGAAAGAGAAAGACUCUGUGUAUCCUUAUGUAUAUGAAUUUAUUAAAUAUUUUGUAAUUUCAGAAUUUUGCUCAUAAAAAAAUUAGUGGCAACUAAGAUAGAUUGGAGUAUUAAUGCAAAGAGAUCAUUUAGAAAGCUGUUGAAAUCCAGCUAAAAAGUAUUAAGGACCUAAACUAAUGUUGUGACUGUGUAAAUGGAGGAAAAAAAGUGUGGUGUAAUGUAUAAAGAGAUUGCUUGGAUGUCAGGCUGACUUGAGAUGAAGUUCUUUUUCUGAUAUAUACUGGCUAUGAGAUAUAGCUAAGUGACUUAGCUUCUCCAUUCCUUGGCAACCAUUUAAGUUUAUGAAUUAGAGAUAAAUUUUCAGUAUUAAUUAUACAGGAAGGGAAAAGCUAUGCCAAUGAAAUCACAAUUCUGAUCAAAAAAAAAAAAAACCACAAAUAAAACUAGAUGCUUAUUUACUUUAAAAUUUUUAUUUAUCACCAAAAUUUAAGUGAGAAAUACAUUGCCAGGGUUUCUCUUAAGUAUGUUAUUUAAAUUUUGAAGUGACUUGAAUUAUUCAGAUAAUUCUUUUAAGAUAUCCUACAUUUAUAAAAGACAUCAGUGUUAAGGGACAGGUCAAUUCUCCAAGAACCUCUAGAGCUGUGGAUCAUAACAUCUGAAGGAGUUGCAAGGCAGCCUUUGCUGACACAGGUGUUGCGGAUUGGGAAUGAGAUAAAUUGGAGGCAGAGGGAAGAAGAGAGAGGAAAGACAAUGGAAUAGUCUCUCAAUCAGAGAACAACUGCCUCUCAGUCUAUUACUUCCACUUCAUCCUAAUUCUCAAGGCAACAAUUAUAACCACUUUAAGAAAAAGGAUAAAUACUAGAAUGCAUAUUUACAGAAGUCAAGAAUUUGCAGUUCCUUUUCCUUUGACAUUAACCACCAUCCCAUGUGAAACAACCACUGAAUAUGCCACAGAAAUCUAUAGUGUGGAUAAGUGAUCAUAACUUCAUCGAACCCCAGAACUGAUCCUUAUUCUUAUCAGGUGAUAUUACCUUGUUGGAUCACAUGUUGAAGGCCCAGACAUUUUCAACUUGCUGAAAUGAUCAGAAGCAUUGAAGAUUUACAUUGAUAUUAGUAAAAGAAGAAUUCAACUAGCCAAAGUCUUUACUCAUCCAGUUGGCAGUUCACUGAAGAAAAGAAAAAGUUGUUACUUCUUAAAAUUAGAAAAAAAAAUGAGAAUAUAUGAUCUGGGAGAUACUUGUUUUAAUUCUCUGUGAAACAAAACAGCUGACUUUUUUGGAUGAGUGUUAGCACCCAAGUAACAGAUAGUGUUAAUUUCAAUAAAACCUUACAUCAUUCACUAAGAUGAACAUGAUUAGUCUAUAAUUUAGGCAUU